rnacentral:tRNA from 1 species
GGUUAUGGCUCAGUGGUAGAGUGCUUGCCUAGCAUGCAUGAGGCACUGGGUUCAAUCCUCAGCACCA